AGGGAAUGUAAAUCCUCCUAGCUGUUACUGGAUUGGCACCAGACAGACUAGGGUGCAGAGUCAAAAGAUCCAUUAGCCAGGUUGGCUGGAUCCGGAUCAAUGCAGCGGGGGUUAUUUUCACCAUAAUAUUCCUAUAUCUAAUUUGGAUAUCUAUCAUUAUUAUUUGUACUGUUUAUAGGUCUGAGGAAGGUCUUCAUUGGACCAAACGUUACCUUGUUUGGAUUGCUUAAUAAAUUUCUCACUGAUGUGUCUACUGA